rnacentral:rRNA from 1 species
GACGAACGCUGGCGGCGUGCUUAACACAUGCAAGUCGAACGGUGAUCUUGAGAGCUUGCUCUUGGGUGAUCAGUGGCGAACGGGUGAGUAACACGUGAGUAACCUGCCCCUGACUCUGGAAUAACUUCGGGAAACCGAAGCUAAUACCGGAUAUGACACAGAGCCGCAUGGUUUCUGUGUGGAAAGUUUUUCGGUUGGGGAAGGACUCGCGGCCUAUCAGCUUGUUGGUGAGGUAAUGGCUCACCAAGGCGACGACGGGUAGCCGGCCUGAGAGGGCGACCGGCCACACUGGGACUGAGACACGGCCCAGACUCCUACGGGAGGCAGCAGUGGGGAAUAUUGCACAAUGGGCGAAAGCCUGAUGCAGCGACGCCGCGUGAGGGAUGAAGGCCUUCGGGUUGUAAACCUCUUUCAGUAGGGAAGAAGCGCAAGUGACGGUACCUACAGAAGAAGCACCGGCUAACUACGUGCCAGCCGCCGCCGUAACAC